rnacentral:misc_RNA from 1 species
GAAUUGCGAUAAGUAGUGUGAAUUGCAGAAUUUCGUGAAUCAUCGAAUCUUUGAACGCACAUUGCGCUUCCUGGUAUUCCGGGAAGCAUGCCUGUUUGAGAAUCGUUUACCUCCUCACCUUGCCUUUUGGGCAUGGUGGACUUGGCAUUUUUCCUUGCAACACAGGAAUGUGUUGAAAUGGACAAGGCAACGGCACUGUGUUGCAUAGCGACAUUGGUAAGCUCUGGCUUAUGACCGCUGGCCAACACCGUGUCCAUGUUGCUUCGACUCAAACCUUCUGCUCCAGUAGCAGUACGGACCACGAUCAAGGCAACUUGAUUUUUAUGGUCUCAAAUCAGGCAAGACUACCCGCUGAACUUAA